AUGAGGAACUGCCCCAGCGGAAGACACUGCAGUAGGAUCCGGAUUGGGACAGGAUCAAAGAGAAGCCAGGGAUCUGCAGUCCCUGACCUUUGGGCCUAUGGGGCUGGCCCUGGCACCCUUGGCUCCCGAGCAGCUGCAGGGGGAUUGGGUGGGGUGUCGGGUGGGUUUGUGUAUGGGGUUGAAUUAUGGUGUUAUGUGUUUGGCAGUGGCACCAGGUUGUCCUUGGUGAGUCAGCCCAAGGUCACCCCCUCCGUCACUCUCUUCCCACCAUCAUCUGAGAAGAUGCAAACCAACAAGGCCACAAUGGUGUGUCUCAUAAAUGACUUCUAUCCGAACACUGUGUCGGUGAACUGGAAGGUAGACAGCACACCCAUCACUCAGGGAGUAGAGACCACGAAACCCUACAAACAGAGCAACAAGUAUGUGUGUGUGGCCGGCAGCUACCUGUCCCUGACACCCGACCAGUGGAAAUCUCGCAAGUUCUACAACUGCCAGGUCACACACGAAGAGAGCUUCAUAGAGAAGACAGUGGCCACUGCACAGUGUUCUUAG